GUAGAUGCCUCUCAACCCACUCCCACUUCAAGGAGACGUCAGCACUCCCAAAACUUGGAAUUGGAGUGGUACGUAAAACAACACUGGAAGAUCCCUAUAUCAAUUGCCUUAGGGAAAACCCAUCUCACCACACGUCGUUAGGUUCAGCACGGUCAUCGGUGUGUUAAUGCGAAACAUAUUUUCGAUCACUGCCCUCAAGUGGGGCGAUGUACCUCCAUAGUACAUCGAGGAUGUCAAAGGCGGCCUGCAGUGUAGGAGUAAUUGAGGGUCAACAAGGCUGCUAGACCAUAACAACCUUACAACCAUAAAAGUGAAUCCAAGUCGUUCCUUCAACGGUAACACAAUCUCGCUAAAGAACACGGUCGCCCAGUGGACAGUGUCGAGUUGUUUAGAGAAACACACGCUAAUUCGUAUGUUGAAACUCCAGUCCCAACCCACCUUGAAAGAUUCGUAAUCACUUUCUAGGGACGAGAUAUGCAAGAUCGUGUUGGGUAGGCGAUUGGGCUACUAAAAAGAUCUUGGUUGGGGCCCCGCCCAAGUCCCAGAAGAGUAUUACUUCAAGUUCUUCCUCUUCUCAUCAUGAGAUGCACUCCAUAGAGGUUAGUGAACUAAAUGCUAGCCUUAAAAAUGCUAACUGCCUAAUUGAAGAACAACGGACAAGGGAGGAGGAACAUGACAGAUAAAUUACCGAGACAAAUUGUCAAAUGGAGGAGAUGAGGAGGAUGAUUGAGGAGAUUAGUCGGACACAGAGAGGACCAUGAAGACACUUAUGGUACGUAUUUUUAACUUUAAUUCGUUUAAUUUCUAAUGUAUGAAAUAUAUAUAACUAUAUUUUUAUGUUAUUUGUUGGUUUGGAGAUUUUUCUUUGCAUACAAUCGAGGUUUUAGGAUAGAUUGAUGUAGUUAUAUUAUUUUAAUGUACUCUUUUUAAACAAUUCAGAUAGUAUUAAUUGUAAAUGUUAUUAGACAUUCGGAUGAA